rnacentral:antisense_RNA from 20 species
GGGUGCUUGAAGCUGUCUGCUUUGGGCAUUGUUCGAAUCAGAUAGAGAGUUGCUUUGAAAUAGAGCAGAUGUUGCCAUAAAGCAGAUAGGAAAAAGCCCCGUACUGACGUUAAUCAACACGAGGCUCCCUAAUGCACGACAACAUUACGGUAGCCUUUUACCCGCCGAAAGGCAAGGCAAGGAGGCUGAAUAUG